GACGAACGCGGCGGCGUGCCUAAUACAUGCAAGUAGAACGCUGAAGGAGGAGCUUGCUUCUCUGGAUGAGUUGCGAACGGGUGAGUAACGCGUAGGUAACCUGCCUGGUAGCGGGGGAUAACUAUUGGAAACGAUAGCUAAUACCGCAUAAGAGUAGAUGUUGCAUGACAUUUGCUUAAAAGGUGCAAUUGCAUCACUACCAGAUGGACCUGCGUUGUAUUAGCUAGUUGGUGAGGUAACGGCUCACCAAGACAACGAUACAUAGCCGACCUGAGAGGGUGAUCGGCCACACUGGGACUGAGACACGGCCCAGACUCCUACGGGAGGCAGCAGUAGGGAAUCUUCGGCAAUGGACGGAAGUCUGACCGAGCAACGCCGCGUGAGUGAAGAAGGUUUUCGGAUCGUAAAGCUCUGUUGUAAGAGAAGAACGAGUGUGAGAGUGGAAAGUUUCACACUGUGA
rnacentral:rRNA from 1 species